UUUGAAUCUGAGAGUAAAUAGAGCCGACUACACUCUAAAAAUGAAGGGUUCAACUGGAGUUGUUCUCAGAUCCCAUAAGAACCGUAGGGUUCUUGUCAAUGAAAAACAGCCGAAAAGGUUAUUCAAAGAACUUGUUAGAAGGUGGGUUCAUCGAGGAACCUCCGUUGUUGCUGGACUUCUUCCUGGAACUUCGCAAUUACAACUGAAAACGCCGGUGGCAAGUUUGGAUGCGACAACAGUUAAAAAGUCGUAGCAGAGCCCCAAGUCCUCGAGGGCGUGGACAUUCUCCCCAUCAAAGGCCAGCGGGAUUUCACUCACAUGGUGAAAAUGAUUUCCGCCGAUGUGCAGUAAUGGAGUGAAGAGUGGUGAAAUCUGUGUCAACAAAACCUUCCUCUCCCCUGAAGACCCAGUGAGGGUGGAGCUCAGUCAGAGAACUGUUGAGGGACUGGUUAUGAAGAACACUUCUACAGCCAGAGAGGGGCAGUCAAGAAAUGGAACAGCAAAGACACAGAACAUGACAUAAGCAGAGCUGUGGGAGACCAUCUCAUGCCCCUGGUAGAGCCGGGGGUGGUGUUUACCACGCCUUCAGCAGUUUUGAAAAGUGGGAUUGAUACUGGUUUUCAUACUAAGAUGGACCAAGAGUCUGUUGAUUGGUCAGUCACUGGGUUAAUUUGUUUUAUGUUCAAAUCAAGCUUUAUCUAUACAGCACAUUUCAGACAUGGUGCAACACAAUGGCUUCACAGGGGAAAAAAACAAUUAAAAUAAACAGGAAUAUUUAGUACACAAAAAAACAUAAGGAUUUUUUUAAAACUGAAAGACGAAUGAGUACCAAUGCCAUUGAUUUAAAAUAUUAAUUGGAUGCAAUAUCCAACCCAAAAUAUAUGCUUGUUUUUUAGGAGGGGCUCCGAAAGACACUAUGGGGGUGUCCACUAAAAGUUCACUAGUAACAACAACUGGGACCCAAAAGACACCCACCAUGAGACCCACUAAAUCUACCCAAGAAGCGUCAAACAAAAGAAAAAAACACACCAAACUUAAAGACAUGAAGCAAACCAAAAAGGUGGUUAAAAUAAUUUAUUUACAAUCAAUACCAUUCACACUUUACAAAAUCGUAUCUCUCAUUCAUUCUUAAUUACUUAUAUUUACAAAACCAAAUCACCAAACACCAAACAAAAACAAACCUCAGGGGAGCAUCGUCCCUCCCCGUCAUACCUAACCAAUACCUAACCCUUUCCCUAUCUUCCCUUCCCUAAUCUAUCCCCUUACAAAACUCACUCUUAACACGCCCAGCCCUAAACCCCCUUUCCACCUCUCCCGUGCCGCAUGCUUCCCCCACUUCCUCUCCUCCCUCUUCAUCCUCCCCCUCAAAUCACCUUUCACCCUUCUCACUAUCCCUUCCACCCCCCAAUCUCUCCCUGUCUUGACAAAAUUCUGCCUGGCUUCCCACAGUCCCUUUUUAAAGAGACUCAUUUGAAGCCAGAGCAGAAACCUGUCCCUAUCCGUUCCCUUUGCUCUCCCUACGCCUCUCUCUAGCCUAGCCCAUGUCAAAACAAAAUCCCUCCUAACCACACCUAGCAUCACCCGUGCCCUAGCCCAGACUAGUCCGGCAAAGGCACAGUCCCAGAAGGCAUGGCGCACAGUCUCCUCCCUGCCACAAGCAGAUCUUGGACAGGUGGGGGAUCGCACCACACUAUACCGGUAAAAGAUGGAAAGUACCGGCAAGCACUUAUGGAGGCCCAACCAAUUCAGGUCCUUGAGCCUGUUGUCCAGGACUCCCUGCCUGCCUGACCUCUUCGUACAGGUGCCUGUGAUCUAAACCUACUCGGGCAACUUCAACCUCGGGGUGCGCACGCAGCCACUUUGCCGCAUGGCCAAAGUGCCACGGCAGCUGUUCCGCCCGAGGACCCGCGUUAGACCACACCAUUACGCUUCUCGCCUGGUACGAGAAGAACACCCGCAGGAGGUAACCGGACGGGUGUAUCACUGGCUGAGCAAGCUCCGCUAACAAGAAAGAAACAAAAAUUGAGUCCUGCUUGAGGGGGAAAUGUGGUACCCCCCUACCUCCCUCCCCGAUGGGACAGAUCAUGCGUGCCCUGGCGACCCACUCGCACCUGCCACUCCACAUAAACUGAAACACAAGCCUCACUAGAGGCCUCCUCAGACAAGCCGGCAAUGGGUAGA